AAAAGCAUCACGUUCAGUUUUUAGAAGACAGAAAUUUGGAAAUGUGGAAAAGCGAUAAAAGGGAUGGAUCAAAGAUAUGGUCAUUUAAAAUAAAAGGAUAUGAAACAUUCAUGGUAAUGGCUUGUUCAAGUAAGUAAUCGAAGGAAGAGUUGAAGAUAAAACAUCUAAGAAAAGCAAAA